CGCAGCUCAUGAUAGGCAGGCGAUGCUCGCUGCCAACUGAAAGUUCCGUGACUAUUACUGUUAUUAUACUAUACUGUUGCAAGUUACAGCUGUUGUAAUGCUUAUGUUACAGUUGUUCCAGGACCAGCAGCAGUGACACAUAUGUUGUAUUAUAGACUGCUGCGUCUAAUCUCCAUAAGCAUUAUUUUCAUUCCGUAUGUUUAGGUGGCAAACUUCGUUUAGCAACUUCACUGUUGUGUACCUAGCAGAGAUAUUCCAAGAUAAUCAGCUGACAGUCACACAACGAAUAUGAAGCUGUGCACUGUCAUAAUCACCUUACACACAUACCACAGUGACUUGGAAACUUUUCCGAAUCCUUUUUUUUUUUAGAUACAAACAGUUUAUUACCAGCAUGAGAAGAAGUAAAGUGCUAAAAUAGUGACUCCAUUCCGUUCAGAUGGUUGAGUUUCUUGAGCAGGUGACUUGACGAGGGAGCUUCUGCCGAAUUUUGUUUACUAGAGUACAGCUGCCGGCAGGGCACCCAUUUCACAGUCCCCCUCGGGAACAAAAAAAACCUCACCACUAUUUGAAUGUUUGUUUAUAUCUUGCAAUGUUUAAAAUACCACUGGCGUAAGCAUCCAGAAGCACCUAGAAAGCAGCCCAAGAAUAAAGCAAGAGAGGUGAAUGACGAUAGCCCUCAUUGUGCGCCCUGCAAACUUGUCCGUCAUUGACGUCGACUAUACUCGUAGAACAGGUGAAUUAUCAGUGAGCCUGAGUAGCCACUAAAUGCAUCAUACUGAUAAUGAGGCCAUAAGUUGUCGCCAAUUCGGGCACUUGCGCUUCCUUUAAAACCAUAUUAAAAUGUGUUUAAGACAACGUUCACCAGUAAUACAUGGUUUGAGUUACCUAUGUAUGCGGGAGAAUGUAACACAAAAGAUUUUGGCUUUGAAGUUGCGUUGUCAGGGGACCUUUAAGUGGCACAAUCAAUCAAUGCACAGGCCUUGUUGAGAAAACAAAUGUAUUUGCUCGCUUCAGCAUUCUGCACAUUACAAAAGUGGCUGGCUGUAAACAUCUGCAGCCCCACCGCUGUGGCGCAUCUGUUGUUCUCCAAUAAACCCUAUUACACUACUACGUAUGGCCAUUGUCACUGAAAGCCACGUGCAUAAAAAUGAAUGUUAAAGAUUUGCUAAAAACUGUGCAUAACAAGCUGCUGCCCAACAUCAACAUGCACUUUGUGCCCAAGCAUGCUGCUAUUGUCAAAUUUGACGCAAAACAUGAUUUUAAUUCAUGACCUUGAGAAAUAGUUGGAAUGCUUAUUCUGAUUAUGGACUGAAAUGUUGCUAAUCUUGGAAGUUAUUUGUUCUUGGACACAUUGCACACUUGGUUCAGUGAAUAUGCUUGGUCAAUAUGAAUGUUUUAGAGUCUGAGCAUGCACUCUGAAUAAUGUCUUUAAAUAGAGAAACCAAAGCAAAUUUUCACAUUGUGCUUUUUAUUGGCAUUUCAGGAGGAACACAGUAGGAUGACUAAAGGACGUAACACUUCUGGACGGGAAUUAUAUGUUGAAGAAUUGUUUUGAAAUGUACAAUAACGAAGAUAUUGGCAUUCUCCUUGCACCAUCUUCUGCGAGCUGCAAAGGCUCUCCACCUAAAGUAUGACAAGGAAGCAGUAGACUCAUCAUUCACGAUGCUUAUUUUAUGUGCUUCCAAGGGAUGCGGCCAAAGGACGACCUGCGGAAUAUUCGUGCGCUCGAUCGGCGCCGCAAUCUCCCGAGCAAAGUUCACCUUUGCUGAAGAUCCAAGCGUAAGAAACUGAAGCAGCAGACGGCUUCAAGCCAUGAUCUGUGCGAAUCACCUUUAUGGGAGCUGCAAAAAAGAAUAAAAAGUGUAUCCCCAGUG